UGGUGAGGUAACGGCUCACCAAGGCAACGAUGCGUAGCCGACCUGAGAGGGUGAUCGGCCACACUGGGACUGAGACACGGCCCAGACUCCUACGGGAGGCAGCAGUAGGGAAUCUUCCGCAAUGGACGAAAGUCUGACGGAGCAACGCCGCGUGAGUGAUGAAGGUUUUCGGAUCGUAAAGCUCUGUUGUUAGGGAAGAACAAGUACCGUUCGAAUAGGGCGGUACCUUGACGGUACCUAACCAGAAAGCCACGGCUAACUACGUGCCAGCAGCCGCGGUAAUACGUAGGUGGCAAGCGUUGUCCGGAAUUAUUGGGCGUAAAGGGCUCGCAGGCGGUUUCUUAAGUCUGAUGUGAAAGCCCCCGGCUCAACCGGGGAGGGUCAUUGGAAACUGGGGAACUUGAGUGCAGAAGAGGAGAGUGGAAUUCCACGUGUAGCGGUGAAAUGCGUAGAGAUGUGGAGGAACACCAGUGGCGAAGGCGACUCUCUGGUCUGUAACUGACGCUGAGGAGCGAAAGCGUGGGGAGCGAACAGGAUUAGAUACCCUGGUAGUCCACGCCGUA
rnacentral:rRNA from 1 species